UACGCAGGUCCCGAGCGUUGUCCGGAUUUAUUGGGCGUAAAGCGAGCGCAGGUGGUUUAUUAAGUCUGGUGUAAAAGGCAGUGGCUCAACCAUUGUAUGCAUUGGAAACUGGUAGACUUGAGUGCAGGAGAGGAGAGUGGAAUUCCAUGUGUAGCGGUGAAAUGCGUAGAUAUAUGGAGGAACACCGGUGGCGAAGGCGGCCUGCUGGACGAUGACUGACGUUGAGGCUCGAAAGCGUGGGGAGCAAACAGG
rnacentral:rRNA from 1 species